AGAGCUCUUGGCUUCACGUUGCCUUGUUCAGAUGUUCUCCUGCUGUCGCAGUGCCCUUUGGAACACCGUAAAGGACGGGGCAGGGCCAGGCAGCUAAAGCCAUACGUCCUCCACAACACCACGCAGCCCCAAAGCAGAUGAUGUUCCUGCCAAGGUGCCACUGCCCCAUACAGCUGGAAGGGCUGGGGAAGGACCCAGCAGAGCAACAAGCUGCCCCGAUGUGUGGCAGAACCCAGGCGGAUGGAUGAAGGGAGCAGUAAGGGCAUUAGGAGCCAAGGGAUGAUCAACUCAAACGAUGACAAAUAUUUGCAGAGAGGUAAUCCAAACGAGAAGGGACCGGUUAACCGUGAAAACGAGGUGUUCCCUUCUGUUCCGAGGCAAAGACGUUAUUCAGCUACAACUUAUAGGGGAAGAACAGAUCUUCCCAGUGAAUCAGGAAGAAACGUCACUGAACGAGGGGCUUAGGUGCACAAAAUGUCCAGAACCGGCACUUACAGGGCAGAGAGGAAGCCUUAGGCUCUCCCUGAAGAGUACGAGGGAGGAGAAAGGUCAGAGCCCAGCACUUUACCAGCGGGGUAUUUCUGGCGUCUGUGCAGACAGUUAAUGCCCAUUACACAACUCUAGCAUUUGAAAUCUCAGCUUACAUGAUAAUGUGCACAGGAUACCUGCUACUGUCUUUAAUUGUGUAAGCACCAAGGCAGUCAGGUGUUCAGGACGACUGUACGGACCGUAGCUGGAUUUUCACUUACACCUGCCUUACAACAUCUCACGCACUUAAAAAUCGACAGUGACCAUAACUGAUUAUUUGGCUCUGCCAAAUUGCUGCCUAGACAAUGGAAAAGUGACUGCAGUUCUCGGAAUA